CUUUGACAACUAGAGUAUCCCCGUUGUUUACUUCUAAUGUUGGUCCAGGGAAUUGUCCAUUCACUGUUAUGGUGUUGUGGGUUUUGCACAGCCUCUUCACUGGUGUUGCUUGAAUCUGUUCCACGAAAAUAGAGAUGCUGCAUCUGCAAAGAGAAGAAAAAUGCACAGAAACAACAAAUAACACAAAGGGCUCAUUUUAGGGGUGGCGCUCCCAAGGAUUUUCUCCAUAUCCAAGGCUUAAACCCGAGGCCUUUAGUUAGGGUGAAAUAUUCCCACCACUGCAUCACAACCCAUGUCGGUAAACUUCUGCUUUUGUUUCUUGGAAGAAAGGAAAGUAACUUUGUAACUUAUCUCCAACAACAGAAAAAAAAAUUCUACUGCCGGCUCAAAAACACUUACAUAUAUAUAUAUAUAUAUAUAUAUAUAUAUAUAUAUAUAAUCAAUGGUGUUUUUGGCAAAUUUAAAGUUUGAUAAAACAUGUAAAAAAAUUCAGGAUGCAUGUAGAGGGAGACACCUCAAUCUCAAGUUGUGUUCUUUGGGCCAAAAGGGAUGGAAUUUAGGAGUGCUCC